rnacentral:rRNA from 1 species
AUUGAACGCUGGCGGCAGGCCUAACACAUGCAAGUCGAGCGGAGCGGCGGACGGGUGAGUAAUGCCUAGGAAUCUGCCUGGUAGUGGGGGAUAACGUCCGGAAAAGGGAGCUAAUACCGCAUACUAUCAGAUGAGCCUAGGUCGGAAUCGCUAGUUGGUGGGGUAAAGGCCUACAAAGGAGACGAUCCGUAACUGGUUUGAACUGAUGAUCAGUCACACUGGAACUGAGACACGGUCCAGACUCCUACGGGAGGCAGCAGUGGGGAAUAUUUGACCAUGGGCGAAAGCCUGAUCCAGCCAUGCCGCGGGUGUGAAGAAGGUCUUCGGAUUGUAAAGCACUUUAAGUUGGGAGGCGUUACCAACAGAAUAAGCACCGGCUAACUUCGUGCCAGCAGCAGCGGUAAUAC